rnacentral:rRNA from 1 species
AUUGAACGCUAGCGGGAUGCUUUACACAUGCAAGUCGAACGGCAGCGCGGACUUCGGUCUGGCGGCGAGUGGCGAACGGGUGAGUAAUGUAUCGGAACGUGCCCAGUAGCGGGGGAUAACUACGCGAAAGCGUAGCUAAUACCGCAUACGCCCUACGGGGGAAAGCAGGGGAUCGUAAGACCUUGCACUAUUGGAGCGGCCGAUAUCGGAUUAGCUAGUUGGUGAGGUAACGGCUCACCAAGGCGACGAUCCGUAGCUGGUUUGAGAGGACGACCAGCCAACCCUGGACUGAGACACGGCCCAGACUCCUACGGGAGGCAGCAGUGGGGAAUUUUGGACAAUGGGGGCAACCCUGAUCCAGCCAUCCCGCGUGUGCGAUGAAGGCCUUCGGGUUGUAAAGCACUUUUGGCAGGAAAGAAACGUCGCGGGCUAAUACCCCGUGGAACUGACGGUACCUGCAGAAUAAGCACCGGCUAACUACGUG